rnacentral:rRNA from 1 species
CCUACGGGAGGCAGCAGUGGGGAAUAUUGGACAAUGGGGGCAACCCUGAUCCAGCCAUGCCGCGUGUGUGAAGAAGGCCCUCGGGUUGUAAAGCACUUUCAGUGAGGAAGAACGCCUGGUGGUUAAUACCCAUCAGGAAAGACAUCACUCACAGAAGAAGCACCGGCUAACUCCGUGCCAGCAGCCGCGGUAAUACGGAGGGUGCGAGCGUUAAUCAGAAUUACUGGGCGUAAAGCGCGCGUAGGUGGCUUGAUAAGCCGGUUGUGAAAGCCCCGGGCUCAACCUGGGAACGGCAUCCGGAACUGUCAAGCUAGAGUGCAGGAGAGGAAGGUAGAAGUCCCGGUGUAGCGGUGAAAUGCGUAGAGAUCGGGAGGAAUACCAGUGGCGAAGGCGGCCUUCUGGACUGACACUGACACUGAGGUGCGAAAGCGUGGGUAGCAAACAGGAUUAGAUACCCCGGUAGUC